GAAUGCGAUCAUACCAGCACUAAAGCACCGGAUCCCAUAAGAAAUCCGAAGUUAAGCGUGCUUGGGCGAGAGUAGUACUGGGAUGGGUGACCUCCUGGGAAGUCCUCGUGUUGCGUUCC
rnacentral:rRNA from 1 species